UGCCAGCCGCCGCGGUAAUACAGAGGGUGCUAGCGUUAAUCGGAAUUACUGGGCGUAAAGGGUGCGUAGGUGGCAACGUAAGUUAGGUGUGAAAUCCCUGGGCUUAACCUGGGAAUUGCGCUUGAUACUGCGUAGCUAGAGUCUUGGAGAGGGUAGUGGAAUUUCCGGUGUAGCGGUGAAAUGCGUAGAUAUCGGAAGGAACACCAGUGGCGAAGGCGACUACCUGGCCAAAGACUGACACUGAGGCACGAAAGCGUGGGGAGCAAACAGGAUUAGAUA
rnacentral:rRNA from 1 species